rnacentral:rRNA from 1 species
AACGAACGCUGGCGGCAUGCCUAACACAUGCAAGUCGAACGAGACCUUCGGGUCUUGUGGCGCACGGGUGCGUACCGCGUGGUAACCUGCCCUUAGGUUCGGUAUCCCUCCCCGAAGGGGAUGCUAAUACCACAGAAUCUCUUCGGACCAAAGAUCUAUCGCGUUUGGAUGGGCGCUCGUUGGAUUAGCUGGUUGGUAGUGUAAUAGCCUACCAAGGCGAGGUUGCAUAGCUGGUCUGAGAGGAUGACAAGCCACACUGGGACUGAGACACGGACCAGCACCCUACGGGAGGGAGCAGUGGGGAAUACUGGACAAGGAGCGAAGGUCUGAUACAGCAAUGCCGGGGGAGUGAUGAAGGCGUUAGGGUUGUAAAGCUGUUUGUGCCGAGAUGUGAAUGACAGUACCGGGAGAAGAAGCACCGGCUAACUCCGUG